rnacentral:misc_RNA from 1 species
UCCUGGUUACCCAGGCAGUCUCAUUAGAGUUCCCAGCCGAACUGUUGGCAACUAAUGAUAAGGGUUGCGCUCGUUGCUGGACUUAACCAAACACCUCACGGCACGAGCUGACGACAGCCAUGCAGCACCUGUGCAGCGGUCCUUACGGAAGGCGACAUUUCUGCCGCUGUCCACUGCAUGUCAAGACUAGGUAAGGUUCUUCGCGUAGCAUCGAAUUAAACCACAUGCUCCACUGCUUGUGCGGGCCCCCGUCAAUUCUUUUGAGUUUCACCCUUGCGAGCGUACUCCUCAGGCGGUAUACUUAACGCGUUAGCUCCGACACAACUGGGGUUGAGACCAGCUACAUCAAGUAUACAUAGUUUACGGCAAGGACUAC